rnacentral:rRNA from 1 species
CGAAGGGGGGCUAGCGUUGCUCGGAAUUACUGGGCGUAAAGGGCGCGUAGGCGGACAGUUUAGUCAGAGGUGAAAGCCCAGGGCUCAACCUUGGAAUUGCCUUUGAUACUGGCUGUCUUGAGUUCGGGAGAGGUGAGUGGAAUGCCGAGUGUAGAGGUGAAAUUCGUAGAUAUUCGGCGGAACACCAGUGGCGAAGGCGACUCACUGGCCCGAUACUGACGCUGAGGCGCGAAAGCGUGGGGAGCAAACAGGAUUAGGUACCCUGGUAGUCCACGCUGUAAACGAUGAGUGCUAGUUGUCGGCAUGCAUGCAUGUCGGUGACGCAGCUAACGCAUUAAGCACUCCGCCUGGGGAGUACGGUCGCAAGAUUA